rnacentral:tmRNA from 1 species
AGGCUUUAAUUGCCGAAACCGAGUGGCUAUAUGCGCUUCUGCCGGCUUCGGCCGGAUAUGGCGAUAAACUGCGGCGUAGACUAGGCGCAGCGGACCCGGGGGCAGUACCCGGCGGCUCCACCAGAACCAGCCUUCCAGGCCGGUCCUGACGGGGCCGAACCAGGAUCGACGUGUGUUGAAAGGCGCUGUUUUCGCUCGGAAUGGGACCACCGCAACGGCCCAUUACACAAGUGCCAACGAUAACGAAGCACUCGCUAUUGCGGCCUAACCCUACGGCUUAACGGCCCAAGGUUAGACUAAAAUGCGCGGUUGGACCGCACCGGGCAACAGAAGCGGAUUCCAGCGGUACGGGGAGCACCGGGCAACAGAAGCUCCCCACU